rnacentral:rRNA from 1 species
GGCAGACGGGUGAGUAAUGUAUAGGAAUCUACCUAGUAGUANGGAAUAAUUGUUGGAAACGGCAACUAAUACCGUAUACGCCCUACGGGGGAAAAAUUUAUUGCUAUUAGAUGAGCCUAUAUUAGAUUAGUUAGUUGGUGAGGUAAAGGCUUACCAAGACAAUGAUCUAUAGCUGAUCUGAGAGGAUGAUCAGCCACACUGGAACUGAGAUACGGUCCAGACUCCUACGGGAGG